rnacentral:rRNA from 1 species
CACGUAGGGGGCAAGCGUUGUCCGGAUUCAUUGGGCGUAAAGAGCUCGUAGGCGGCUCAGUAAGUCGGGUGUGAAACCUCCAGGCUCAACCUGGAGACGCCACCCGAUACUGCUGUGGCUAGAGUCCAGUAGGGGAGCGUGGAAUUCCUGGUGUAGCGGUGAAAUGCGCAGAUAUCAGGAGGAACACCAGUGGCGAAGGCGGCGCUCUGGGCUGGAACUGACGCUGAGGAGCGAAAGCGUGGGGAGCGAACAGG